rnacentral:rRNA from 1 species
GACGAACGCUGGCGGCGUGCUUAACACAUGCAAGUCGAACGGAAAGGCCCUGCUUUUGUGGGGUGCUCGAGUGGCGAACGGGUGAGUAACACGUGAGUAACCUGCCCUUGACUUUGGGAUAACUUCAGGAAACUGGGGCUAAUACCGGAUAGGAGCUCCUGCUGCAUGGUGGGGGUUGGAAAGUUUCGGCGGUUGGGGAUGGACUCGCGGCUUAUCAGCUUGUUGGUGGGGUAGUGGCUUACCAAGGCUUUGACGGGUAGCCGGCCUGAGAGGGUGACCGGCCACAAUGGGACUGAGAUACGGCCCAGACUCCUACGGGAGGCAGCAGUGGGGAAUAUGGCACAAUGGGCGGAAGCCUGAUGCAGCAACGCCGCGUGCGGGAUGACGGCCUUCGGGUUGUAAACCGCUUUCGCCUGUGACGAAGCGUGAGUGACGGUAAUGGGUAAAGAAGCACCGGCUAACUACGUG